GAACUUAGGCAGCACAUAUACUAAAGUUAGAAUUAUACAGAGAAGAGUAGUAUGGCCCCUUCAUAAAGAGAACACCAAAAUUCAGGAAGGUUUCCAUACAUUU